rnacentral:rRNA from 1 species
UAGGGAAUCUUCGGCAAUGGACGGAAGUCUGACCGAGCAACGCCGCGUGAGUGAAGAAGGUUUUCGGAUCGUAAAGCUCUGUUGUUAGAGAAGAACGUUGGUAGGAGUGGAAAAUCUACCAAGUGACGGUAACUAACCAGAAAGGGACGGCUAACUACGUGCCAGCAGCCGCGGUAAUACGUAGGUCCCGAGCGUUGUCCGGAUUUAUUGGGCGUAAAGCAAGCGCAGGCGGUUCUUUAAGUCUGAAGUUAAAGGCAGUGGCUUAACCAUUGUACGCUUUGGAAACUGGAGGACUUGAGUGCAGAAGGGGAGAGUGGAAUUCCAUGUGUAGCGGUGAAAUGCGUAGAUAUAUGGAGGAACACCGGUGGCGAAAGCGGCUCUCUGGUCUGUAACUGACGCUGAGGCUCGAAAGCGUGGGGAGCAAACAGG